CCAACAUUCUCUCCAUUAUUAAUUGGCCAGUUUCUAGCAGGCAUCACAGAAAAACUGGGUCUGGAGGAAGAAUAUGAAAAGGCAUAGAAUAGUGCCUUACAGAUCAGUUUCAGGAGGGCAUUCCAUGUACAUGGGGAGUGAAAAAGAAGAAGGCGUGGGACGUUUGUGUGAUGCUGAUAAAUGCGAGGACGAGGCUGGCACCAAUGGCAGAGACUUGAGCAGCAGCUUUUAACUGCAACCCCACAGGAUGCACCAGCAGUAGGAAAAGAGCAUUGAAGCAAGAUAGGUGAAUAGCCUGUGACCUCUCCGGACUCAGGAUGGAGUUUGCAGGAGCCAUCUUGAGAUGAAAGAGAGCAGUUCCAUAGGAGCCACACCAAACUCUGGCUGCAACAAACCCCUGACCUGGGGAAAACUAGCCCUGCUAUUAGGAAGAGAGCAGCAGUCACACUGGUCCCAGCCUGAGAGGAACGUGUCAGGUAGCAAAUGCAGACCUGCGAGAUGACCUUUCACCAUCAUUUCUAUCGCUAAUGCUAAGAGGAGCUGACCAGGAUAUCUGCACCUGUCUAGUUUCAGAGAAGAAAAGCUGCAGCCAUCCUCCAGCCCAGAGCAGCAACACAUGCCUGUUCCUGAAGGCUCCACCAGCCAAAUUACUGUGUUCCAGAAGGGCCAGUGUCCUGGUAGGUGACCAGACUCAUUGACUCAUCCACCUGACGUGGAGGCCUAAUCUGGAUAAGUGUAAGCAGUCCCAGAGGCACACCUCUGCAACUCCUUUCUGAGCUAGAACAGGGUAUUAGAUAGACUCUUGGACAACAUGUAUGCAGACUGUGGACUUGAGACUCCACUGUCUCUUUUAUCUUGUGUUGUCACCAUCACUUUUACAGCACCCAGAGACCCCAACUGAGACUGGAUAGCAAGUCAGCAGCAGAACCAACAACAGAAGUCAGAAUUCCUGACUCCCAGUGACAGUACCCUCUCCACUGCUUCACAGAUGACGCUCCCUUUCUUGAUUAGCCCUGGAUUACAACAUUAUACAAAAUUAUAACAUAAAACAAAAAGGAGAAGGGGUCUUACUGCCUGGUUUUUGGUUUUUGCCCCUCUCUAAUCUCUCAGUAUUUCUAAUGCAACGAUCACCUUAGCAUUUUUAACAGUUGUAAAGUACCAUGUUCACUUGCUUCAUUUGUUAACUGGCUCACUAUUGUCUUAACAAUAGGUGCAAAAAAGGCUAAAAUGCUUUAAAAGUACCCAGAUGCUAUGGUGAUAGGCACUUUCAAAAUGCUGAUUAGAUAUUGCACAUAAUAAUAACAUCGCGCAGGGUGCAAAGGAGCUAUAGAUAGGGUACAAUGUCUUUACUCCCAUCUCCUUUCUAAUGUAUAUCAUAAAACAAACACAUUAUAUACCCCCUACCAUUAAUUAAAAUAGGGCAUGGUUUUGUUUAAGGGAGGUUUUUCCACUGACUUCACUGGAAGUCCUAAAAUGAGUCCCUAAAUAGACAAAGAUGAGUAAAUGUAUCUAUGGGCUCAGUUCUGCAGGGUGGCCUGAUCCUGCAAAGCAUUUAAGCACACGCUUAUCUUCCUUAAUCACAUGGACAGUCACAAUGAAGUCAACCUAACCACCAUGGGACUAUUACCUGCUUAAAGUUAAGUAGUAUAGUUGUAGUCCUGUGGGUCCCAGGAUAUUAGAGGAACAAGGUAGGUGAGGCGAUAUCUUUUAUUGGACCAGCUUCUCUUGCUCAGCAACAGACAUUGGUCCAAUACAAGAUAUUAUCUCACUCACCUUGUCUCUCUAAAGUUAAGCAUGCAUUGAGAUGGUUUGAAGCAUUGCAGCCAGAGUGCUCAGUAUCUUGCAGGAACCAGGACCAUCUGAGUAAAACUGCCUUUCAUGUCCUGGCCCAGGCUUCUGUGCUUUUGGGGUAUGUGGGUGACCUUACUACCAUUUGCUGCAGAAACAUGGGCACAGUCAGUGGGGUGAAUUAAGGGUGGGAUUUCAAUGUUUCAGUUCCAUUCAAUGAAACUUCAUUGGCAUGACAACUACACAGCAUUACCAAAGACACUUCCCCCCUCCCUUCUGGAGAGAUCCUCAGGUCUUUAUCAGAGGCAAACCCACCUAAAGUAGGGUUAGACACUAUAUUUGAGGUUAGAUCCCCUGUGUCCAUUUGGCAUUUAAACUCUUGAGUGUGAACAGCUUUGCUUUUGUAGGGUUUAAGUGUGAGUCCCUUAAGUGAUUGUGACAUUGGAUUUUGUGGUGGUGGGAUGGGGGGCAGGGAUCGUUUUGUUCUUGGAUUUUUAAUAGUGUCUCAGGACCAGGUACAGAUCACAGAGUAAGUAGGUCACAUGUAGAUGGUGGCGAUGCACCUUUGAAAAGGGAUUACAGAUACCAGAAAAGUCUGGUCUCCAGAUUCAAUAGGCAGGAACAGAUUAUAUGUGUUUAUUUAUGUAUUUU